AGCGGGGCCAGAUCAAUGACGCGGGCCUGUGGGCGGGGCCAGAAAGUUCAUCCCGGCAGGGGGCGGGGCCGUGGUGUUCCGGCUCGGGUCGAGGCUGGGGCUUUUCGCUGGAAAUCCGCGGGUGGUCCGGGAAGUUUUGUCCGCGUCGGGGAGGGGAGAAUAUUCACUGUGGAGGUCGGGUCUGGCCCAAGAAGUCUCGCCAGAACCCCCAGUGCUGUGUCCAGAUUCUGCAGGGGAGGGUCACUGGGACUGUGGCCCUACCAAGCUAGUGGAAUGUCAGCCACGCUGGAUCUGAAAUCGAAGGAAGAGAAGGAUGCCGAGUUGGACAAGAGGAUCGAGGCUCUUCGGCGGAAGAAUGAGGCCCUCAUCCGGCGCUACCAGGAGAUUGAAGAGGACCGUAAAAAAGCUGAACUCGAGGGUGUAGCUGUGACAGCUCCCCGGAAGGGCCGCUUGUUGGAGAAGGAGAAUGUGGCAGUUGAGGUGGAGAAGAACCACGGUCCCUCCAGGAGGUCUCCUGGGACCCCUCGGCCCCCAGGGGCCAGCAGAGGAGGCCGGGCUGCCCCUCAGCAGGGAGGCCGGGCAGGCGUGGGCCGGACAUCCCGCAGCUGGGAGGACAGUCCUGGGGAGCAGCCUCGAGGAGGGGCUGGGGGCCGCGGCCGGAGGGGCCGGGGCAGGGGGUCCCCUCAUCUCUCUGGAGCUGGAGAUGCCUCAACUGCCGAUCGCAGAUCCAAGGAGUGGGAGGAGCGGCGCAGGCAGAACAUCGAGAAGAUGAACGAGGAGAUGGAGAAGAUCGCGGAGUAUGAGCGCAACCAGCGGGAAGGCGUGCUGGAGCCCAACCCCGUGCGGAACUUCCUGGACGACCCCCGGCGGCGCGGCGGGCCCCUGGAGGAGCCGGAGAGGGACCGGCGGGAGGGCAGCCGCCGGCACGGGCGCAACUGGGGCGGCCCCGACUUCGAGCGCGUGCGCUGCGGCCUUGAGCAGGAGCGGCAGGGCCGCCGUGCUGGCCCGGGCAGUGCUGGGGACAUGACGCUGUCUAUGACCGGCCGGGAGCGGUCCGAGUACUUGCGCUGGAAGCAGGAGCGGGAGAAGAUCGACCAGGAGCGGCUGCAGAGACACCGCAAGCCCACCGGCCAGUGGCGGCGGGAGUGGGACGCCGAGAAGACCGAUGGCAUGUUCAAGGAUGGCCCAGCUGUUGCCCUUGAACCAUCCCAUCGCUAUGAUGAUCAGUCCUGGACCCGGCCCCCCAAGCCUCCCACUUUCAGGGAGUUCCUGUCCCAGCACAAAGCUGAGGUCAGCCGCAGGAAAAGGAAGAGCAGCCGACCCCAGGCCAAGGCAGCGCCCCGAGCCUACAGUGACCACGAUGACCGCUGGGAGACGAAGGAGGCAGCGGCCCCAGCCCCUGAAGCCCCACAGCCCACUCCCCCUGAGGAGACAACCACAAAGCCACCCGCGACCCCAGCCCCUGUCCACCGGCCUCCUGAGGAUCAGGGGGAGGAGGACGAUGGCGGGGAGGACGAAGGGGAAGAAGACGAGGGGGAGGAUGAGGAAUGGGAAGACGUGAGUGGGGACGAGGAGGUGGUUGAGGAGGAAGAAGAGGCUGAUGAGGAAGAGGAGGAAGAACCAGCCCAAGACCAGGAACCCCAAGAGCUGGAGCCCACUGGGAGGAGCCCCAGCAGUGAGCAGGCCGACAAAGAGCCUUCUGGGCCCGAGGAGCCCCCGCCGCUUCCCCAGGCCCCUGCCUCGCCUUCCAGCCCCUUCUCGCCCCCUGGGGGCCACCAGCCUGUGUCCGACUGGGGUGAAGAGAUGGAGCUGAAUUCUCCCCGGACCGCCCACCCGGCUGAUGCCCUAUCUCCGGGAGGUGACCAGCCAGUCCUUGCCUCCCUGGAGAGUGGGCCCAGCAUCCCAGGAACCCAGAAAGCCGAAGAGGAGGGGUCUGAGGCAGCUCCAGAGGCGGGCCCCGAGGGCCAGGAGACGGCGGAGAUCACCGACUUCCAGAGGGUGCGUUUCUGCAAGGUGGUGGCAGCUGCUCCACAACCGGGGGCCGCCCGCUGACCGCGCCCGCCGACUCUGCACUAACUUCCCGCCGCCUCGCUCCUCUGCCCUCUGCUUCCGCCACACUCCAGCCAGGAGAGGGUUAAAUGUAAGGGGGGAGGAGCCAAGGACAGCCAACGGGGUGGGGCCAGGGCAAUAGACCGGUCUCACAAGUGGGGGGCGCCCUGGCACCGGAACUGCUGGGACACACCCGAGUUACCCACCUAUGGAGGCCAUGGGGGCCCAAACCAUAUGGAGAGCCCACAUGUAGGCACUGAUUAAAAGUUUCAGCUCUGCUCCCACUUGACAGCCAGAAUCAACUGCCAGCCAUGUGUGUGAGCCUCCUGGGACGUCCAGCCCAGUGGAGCCUUCAAGUUCCCAGUGCCAUUGGAACCUGCUGGAGGGUGAGAGACUGCACCGAGUACACCUAAGGCUGGCAUCCAGCCAACUCUCAGAAACAGAGCCAUUUAUCCAGCCCACAGCUGACUGCGAUGCACGGAGGAGCUCACCCGAGACCCAAAGAACCAUCCAGCUGACCCAAAGGCCUUAUUAUCUCCACUUCAUUGGGUAUAGCUUCCUCCCAGCCAGACUGAGACAGCCGAGCCUCCUGGGCACGCUGACAAUUUUACACUUCAGGAAAGGAACUGCCCCAAACUGGAAACAACUCAGAUAAAUGUCUUUCAGCGGGCGAAGAGAUGAACAGAUGGUGACACAUCCAGGCAGUGGGCUACUACUCAGCUGUUCAGAGGAACUCGUGACGCACACGGUGACACGCACGAAAUGUAAACACAUUUUGCUGAGUGGAGGAAGUCAGAUCGAGAAGGCUGCGGACUGUGCGAUUCCAUUUCUAGGGCAUUCUGGGAAAGGCAGCCCUGGCCAUGGAGAAGAGAUCAGUGGUUGCCAGGGGUUACGGGCGGGGGAGGGGCCGGCUGCAAAGUGGCAGCCGGAGGGAAUUUUUUGGGGGUGAAGAAGCUGUUCUGGGUCUUGUUUGUGGGGAUGGUGACACGACUUGAAGCUUCUUUUUUUUAGCUUUGUCAAGACCCAUCGAACUGUAACACCACAAAGAGAGGAUUUUCUUGUAAGUUAGAAUAAAUUAGUAACAACUAAUUUCUUAGUUGACAUUUUAGAAUCAGAGAUGCUGUCUUCUUCACACACUUACAGCGUGAGAAUUCGAAACUUGUGGAAUUUUCAGAGUAAUCAUAAUAUAAGCUCCCAUUCUGAAUUCUGUCAGGGUUAACCCGUCUCACCUCAACCCGCUUCGGUCAUGGUGAAGUUCUGGGAGUGGCACCUUGCACUUGGCCACCGCUCGGUGAGUGUUGGCUAUUAUCAUUAUUGCUGGUGGUAGUGUUUUCCCACAGCCUUUGAGAGGUCUCUGCCCGAUGCAGCCUCUAGCUUUGUUCUCCAAGCCUCCCCUGGUGCUUGCUGACACCCUCUGGCUCUGAGGUUCAGGCGGUGACAGAAGCUCUGGUGAACUAUACUGCUCCUGCCUGUCACCACAUCCUGACUCGGAGGCUAGUGUGGCCACUGCAGAGGAGCCUCAGCAUAGAUGGGCAUCUGGCCAGCUCUGGGUUUCUUGUGGCCUCAGGCAGGGUGGUGUCACAGCAGCUUCUCUUUAAGAUGUGCUGAUGGCAGCCACCCACUCAGCCCAGUCCCUUUAGAUGGAGGUCAGGCUUUGCAUGGUGCUGGGGAACAGUGGAUACAAAACACGACGUGUGCCAUAUGCCACUUGGUCAUAGUCCUUUUCUGCUCCUUUCUAUUGUGUAAAUUUUAAGCCUCUCAGGUAAAAUUUAAAAAAAAAACACAAAAACUUUUAUUGACAUGCAUACAAAAUACAGACAGAAAAAUUCACAAAUCAUAAAAGUACAGCUUAAUGAACUUCCAGAGCUGACCAUCUCUGUGUCACCAACAACUGGAUCGAGAAAAAGAAUGUUUCCGGCCCCCAACCCCUACUCUGCCCCGAUGCUCCAAGUUCCUCCCCCUCACAAAUAACCUAUCCCGGGUCAUAACACCCAAAUCUAAUUUCGUCUGCUCUUGAACUUCAUAUGAACAGAAUUAUUCGGCGGGUAUGCUUUAGAGUCUGCCUGCUUUCUCUCAACAGAAUGGCCUCGAGAUUCAGCCAUGUUUGUUGCAGGUACUAGUUUUUUUACUAUCGGUUUUUCCCUUCUCCUUACUGCUACAUAGUACUCCAUUACACGAAUAUGCCGUUUAUUUACCCAUUCUACUGUUGAUGGACUUGACUUUCGGUUGGUUUCCAGUUGUUGGUUAUUAUGAGUAAAGCUGCUGUGAACAUU